GUUGUAUGUGCAAGGGAAAGUGGUGUGUGUGUGAGCUAAUAUUUAAAUGAGGACCGAGCAGAGUCUUGGCUCUAGAGGGAGAGCACGUUUUUGAAAAUGGCUGGUACCACUCGAGAUGAAGCUCUUAAUCAGGCAAUAAGCUUAAUAAACAGUAUAAUGGCUUCUCCACCAGUGCUAUCAACUCUUGUAAAUUCGCCGACACCAGCACCAGCUGUCUUUACCGGUAACGUUACUACGGAGCAAGAAGUUAAUUCGUUGUUUAGGAGAGGGACCAGCUAUAACCCUGCUGCUAGUGUGGCUAACGUGGCUAGCAUGAACCUUAACGUUGCACGGGAGACACCUCCAAAUAUGCGCUACGAAACGAGAAGGACAUUUGGGAACUGGGCCACGUCAACCAAGAAGAAAAGGUAUUUUUUUUUAUUUCUUUGAUAUCUUGUUUAUACGUAUGUGUGUUGCCGUAGCGAGCUGCUCGCUAGUUGUGUCUCGCUAGUUUCACCAGUUUCACUGCAUGUCCAACUCUACCCAGUAGCCUACUGUAUGUCUAUGCAGGUGACAAUAAACCAUCCUUGUUUAUGUCAUGUCAAUUUUCCAUGCAUCAAGCACUUGCAUGUUGAACAAGCCUUGGCAUAGUUUUUCAGCGUGGACCAGACAUAAACAACGCUAUUUCUCAUGGUUCAGACAGUAAAGGCUUAGUUUAGUGUUUUGAAUGAAUUAUUUCGCACGUAAAAUCGAACGCGUGUGGCUGUAGUAGAACAUUUCUAUGUGUGUGGCGAGUCACUGUUUAAUUUGCCUCGAAUAAGAAUGAGACGUUUAAAUAAAAUGUGUGAUACAUAGACUGUAUAUUAUUCUCAAUAUGUAAAUUGAAAGGUACGAUUUUUUUGUAAACUGUGGUGGUAUGAUUACAGGGCCCGUGGACAGUACCACCAGACAUUUAACAAGGAUGUGAUUUUACUCACAAAUCCCACAUGGACCAAAGUCUGCACACACCAGACUAAAGAGCAACUGUAUCAGGCUGGGAAUAUCCUCAGCGCUUUUGAGUUUGACAAGUCAUGGACCUACCACACCAUAAUCAGCCAAAUCAAGGAUGGGUUUGGAGAUAAAAUUCCCCCUGACAUAAGGUAUGGCCUCUUGCACAUUUUUCUGUGUAUCAGUAUGCAAUGUUGAUAGUAUUAUUGUUUACCUCAUUAUUUCUUUCUUUUCAGCCUUUCAUGUCUAAUGGGUUGUGGUAAAAAAACUUGUCUCUCCUGUACUCCGUGAUGUCCAAGAGCUGAAUGGAUCGCUGUUGCACAAGAUUUUUCGUUUGAAAGCACUCUACGUGAGACCCUCCAAACCCCUUGCAAAUGACUGUUUGGCCCACUCUGAUAGCGAAGGUGAAAGGGCAGACCACUGCACAGGUGCCAUAGUGAGCCAAGGAAUAACCGUGGCAUUGAAUGAUGAGUCCAGUGACAGUUGUGUAGAGGUCCAUACACCAAGCUCAAAGCCACCAAAGAGGCGUGGAAGGCAGGAAUCACCUCCAAAUGAUGGACCAUCAACCUCCAGCAGCAACUAUACACCAAGUGGAAGCCAUCCACAGGCAGCGAGUACAUCUGCAGGCAGCGAGUACUCGGCGUACGUUUCCAUAAUGUCCUCACUGCCAGAUAUGUCUUCCUCUGAUGAGGAGCUCAAUUGUGCAAUCCUGGCCAGUAUUGACA